CCAAGAAUUCUUCAUUUCUACAAUUUCCAAACAAAUCACUAGAAAGGGCUAAAUGGGUCAUCGUAAUCUAAGUCAUUAUCAUCAUUUAGAGAAGGAACAACAUCAAUCAGUUGAUGGUCUAUUAAACCUUUUUACUAAAGCUAACCAUGACCUAAACAUAGUUCAAAACAAGCUGGAAAAGGAAUUUCAACAAGUCUACCCUGAUAAUGUUAACCCGAUGAAGCUAGUUUCGAGGAUCAAGAAAGUUGAGGAUGAAAUGUGUAGCUUGAAGGAGCAAUGCCGUGAGUUGCUUGCUGCUAAACAGGAUUUGAUUGAUAAAGCUCGGGCAACCUUAGUUGGGAACAGGUCGUUGCUGCAAAGGUUGCAAUUAUCUGCAGGUGUUCCUGUCAUCAGUGAUUCUGAUGAUCCAUCAUAUGCUAGUUUCAAUCAGGUUUUACUCCGCUUUGUGAUAGGGGGGAAAUUACUGCAUUGACUUCAUCUUGACUGUGGCAAGGUUGCAAAAAUUUCCAAAUGGUGUCUAAAGAUUUGCACCAUUUGCCGGCAAGCAACCAAAAUCUAAUCUGAAGGGCAAAGAUUCCUGAUUUAGUUUCCAUGGCAUUUAAGUGCUUGCUGUGGUCAUUGAUGAAUGGACAACUCAACUCAGAUCAAGAACAGAGGAUGAGAGCCCUGAAUCAGGCGAAGAUAUCAACCAGAUGCUGUUUUCAGCAAUUGUCCAUGACAACUAAGAAGUCAUUCAACCUUUGAAUUGGGAAGAUGCUUGAUGUGGGACCUAGCAUUUGUCUGAUUUUGCAAUUGGUUUCUUGGAUCAUUCUUGUAUCUGUUAGUAGUUCUUUAAUCUUACAUAGAUGUCCUUUCUUGCUACUUCAGGCAGGAAUUAGUAAUAUGAAGUAACUUUCUUUCUGUCACAAGAAGGUAAAAGAUUGUAAUAGAUGAUAGAAUUGUUCGAGCAAGGUGACACUCCUUUCUAAAA